rnacentral:tRNA from 1 species
AUUUAUAUAAUAUAUAUAUUUAGUAUAUUUGACUUCCAAUCAAAAAGUUUAAUUAUUUUAAUAUAAAUA